rnacentral:lncRNA from 1 species
GGCGGCCCCCCGGGAGCCCACGGGAGGCCCGCGGCCCCCGGGACCCCAGGCGGGCACCCGGAAGGGCAGGAUGCUGCUGGCGGCAGAGUGGGCAUCCUCAGGGGUCGAGGCCGGGCCGCUGCUGGUCCUCCCCGCCGCCUUGUGGCGCGGCGGGCUCAACCCGUGGGCAGAGCGGCGUGCUGCUUGCUCUUCGGGGGGGGGGGGGGGCUCCAGAGCCUCUCCGCGCUGGUCUCCCCCUGUAGUUAGUUGUCGUAUCCCGGGCUGGACGACACGGCACCCCACCCACCCUAAUCUGCGGAAAGUUGAACUCCUAUCCGCCCGGAGCACCUCCCCAGCCCUGCCGGCCUUCACUCGCCUCUGUGAUUCUUAACCGUUAGGGCUUAUGUGACCCACUGAGUCUGCCAGUUACGGACUUCUCC